rnacentral:tRNA from 3 species
GGGGGAGUGGUGAAAUGGCAGACACGCAUGCCUUAGGAGCAUGUGCCGCAAGGCGUGAAGGUUCGACUCCUUUCUCCCCCACCA